rnacentral:tRNA from 1 species
GGGGAUGUAGCUCAGGGGUAGAAUGCUUGCCUGGAAUGCAUGAGCCCCUGGGUUUGAUUCCCAGCACCACAA